ACCUGCCGUCUACUCUUGGCCAGCCUUCUGAAAGGAAGAUUAAUCCAGGAUGGCAUCAUGAGUUCACAUGUCCGCAUGAUUAAAGGUAUUUUCCGGUAGACGAUGGGGAUGCGUUCCAUUAGAUAGUAGGCGGGGUAACGGCCCACCUAGUCAACGAUGGAUAGGGGUUCUGAGAGGAAGGUCCCCCACAUUGGAACUGAGACACGGUCCAA
rnacentral:rRNA from 1 species